rnacentral:rRNA from 1 species
AUGGUGGCGGUAAUAAGUCACCCAGCAGUAGUACUGGCAGCAAGCGUGCCAAAGUGGAUUCUGAAGAUAAUAGAUCGGGGGCCUCCUUCGAGGAGGACCACCGGGCACAAUGAGUUCACUAAUCUGGAACUGCCGGGGGGGAACCGCCGGAUAGUUCAUGAGGUUUUGGCCCUCUAUAAAGCCAAUUCCCCGGGGCUUGUCUUCCUUUCUGAAACUAGGCAAGCCUCUAGUAAGAUGGAGAAACUUAAGUGGAAGCUAAGAUUGAAGGGUUUUGCGGGAGUUUCUAGCGAUGGCCUCAGUGGGGGCCUUGCGCUAUAUUGGGAUGAGAAU